rnacentral:rRNA from 1 species
AUUGAACGCUGGCGGCAGGCCUAACACAUGCAAGUCGAGCGAGCGGCGGACGGGAGAGUAAUGUAUGGGGACUGCCCGAUAGAGGGGGAUAACUACUGGAAACGGUGGCUAAUACCGCAUACUAUCGGAUAACCCAUAUGGGAUUAGCUAGUUGGUGAGGUAAUGGCUCACCAAGGCGACGAUCCCUAGCUGGUCUGAGAGGAUGAUCAGCCACACUGGGACUGGGACACGGCCCAGACUCCUACGGAGGCAGCAGUGGGGAAUAUUGCACAAUGGGCGCAAGCCUGAUGCAGCCAUGCCGCGUGUAUGAAGAAGGCCCUAGGGUUGUAAACUUCUUUAGACAGGGACGCGGUACCUGUAGAAUAAGCCACGGCUAACUACGUGCCAGCAGCCGCGGUAAUAC